rnacentral:rRNA from 1 species
CCCUUAGAUGUUCUGGGCCGCACGCGUGCUACACUGAGUAAUUCAAUGGGUAAGGGAACGCUAGAGCAUUACCUAAUCUUGAAAUUUGCUCGUGAUGGGGAUCGACGGUUGCAAUUUUCCGUCGUGAACGAGGAAUACCUUGUAGGCGCAUGUCAUCAUCAUGCGCCGAAUACGUCCCUGCCCUUUGUACACACCGCCCGUCGCUCCUACCGAUUGAGUGAUCCGGUGAGGCUCUGGGACCUGGACGGAAAGAGCGUUUCGCUUGUUCUGUUUGGGAAACUUGGUCGAACCUUAUCAUUUAGAGGAAGGAGAGGUCGUAACA